rnacentral:rRNA from 1 species
UACGAAAGGGGCUAGCGUUGUUCGGAAUUACUGGGCGUAAAGCGCACGUAGGCGGCCUUGUAAGUUGGGGGUGAAAUCCCGGGGCUCAACUCCGGAACUGCCUUCAAAACUGCAAAGCUAGAGGACGCGAGAGGUUAGCGGAAUUCCGAGUGUAGAGGUGAAAUUCGUAGAUAUUCGGAAGAACACCAGUGGCGAAGGCGGCUAACUGGCGCGUUUCUGACGAUGAGGUGCGAAAGAGUGGGGAGCAAACAGG